GUGUCUGUACCGGUGCUGCAACGGGAGGGUCGGGCGGCGACGCUCUCACUGCCGGGCCAGAAGGAGGCCUCCCGGCUCCCUCACGCUAGAAGGGAGCUGGUUACCAGAGGUUUUCAGAGACGCCAAAGUUUUGCCAGAAUUUGUUGCAAGCACAUGAAAGAUUUUGUGGCUGAAGUAAUGUAAAACCAUUGAUCAAACCGGAAAUUGAGACACAGCCAGCGUCACACAACAGGCCAUCUGAAAGGCUGGAAUAGCAUCGAGGGAGUCUCCCUGGAACCAAGCAGCCAAGGCAGGCUAAUGGUGAAGGCCCAGGCACAGUAAUGGUCCCCUGGAGGUGGGUAAUGGAACCAUGGGGG
rnacentral:lncRNA from 1 species